AGAAUCAACGCUGGCGGCGUGCCUAACACAUGCAAGUCGAACGAGAAAGUGGAGCAAUCCAUGAGUAAAGUGGCGACCGGGUGAGUAACACGUGACUAACCUACCUUCGAGUGGGGGAUAACAUCGGGAAACCGAUGCUAAUACCGCAUAACAUCGCAAGAUCAAAGCAGCAAUGCGCUGGAAGAGGGGGUCGCGGCUGAUUAGCUAGUUGGCGGGGUAACGGCCCACCAAGGCGAAGAUCGGUAGCCGGCCUGAGAGGGCGCACGGCCACACUGGAACUGAAACACGGUCCAGACUCCUACGGGAGGCAGCAGUGGGGAAUUUUGCGCAAUGGGGGAAACCCUGACGCAGCAACGCCGCGUGGAGGAUGAAGCCCCUUGGGGUGUAAACUCCUUUCGACCAAGACGAUAAUGACGGUACUGGUGGAAGAGCACCGGCUAACUCUGCGCCAGCAGCCGC
rnacentral:rRNA from 1 species